rnacentral:rRNA from 1 species
AAAGGCUGAGACUUGAUGCAUACCCGUUGUGGGGAAUUCAGUGAUCCUAUGCUGCCGAGAAAAGCCUCUAGUGAGUUCAUACACGGCCCGUACCCCAAACCGACACAGGUGAUCAGGUAGAGAAUACCAAGGCGAUCGAGAGAACUGUGGUUAAGGAACUCGGCAAAAUGCCCCCGUAACUUCGGGAGAAGGGGGACCAUGCCCGGUGAACAUCUUCACGGUGGGAGCUGGGUGUGGUCGCAGAGACCAGAGAGAAGCGACUGUUUACUAAAAACACAGGUCCGUGCGAAGACGUAAGUCGAUGUAUACGGACUGACGCCUGCCCGGUGCUGAAGGUUAAGAGGACCGGUUAGCCGUAAGGCGAAGCUGAGAAUUUAAGCCCCAGUAAACGGCGGUGGUAACUAUAACCAUCCUAAGGUAGCGAAAUUCCUUGUCGGGUAAGUUCCGACCUGCACGAAUGGCGUAACGACUUCUCUGCUGUCUCGACCACAGACUCGGCGAAAUUGCACUACGAGUAAAGAUGCUCGUUACGCGCGGCAGGACGAAAAGACCCCGGGACCUUUACUAUAGCUUGGUAUUGGCGUUCGAUUCGGUUUGUGUAGGAUAGGUGGGAGACUGUGAAGCAUGCACGCCAGUGUGUGUGGAGUCGUUGUUGAAAUACCACUCUGAUCGUAUUGGACGUCUAACCUCGGCCCAUGAUCUGGGUUAGGGACAGUGCCUGGUGGGUAGUUUAACUGGGGCGGUUGCCUCCUAAAGAGUAACGGAGGCGCCCAAAGGUUCCCUCAGCCUGGAUGGCAAUCAGGUGUUGAGUGCAAGUGCACAAGGGAGCUUGACUGUGAGACUGACACGUCGAGCAGGGACGAAAGUCGGGACUAGUGAUCCGGCACCGGCAAGUGGAAGCGGUGUCGCUCAACGGAUAAAAGGUACCCCGGGGAUAACAGGCUGAUCUUCCCCAAGAGUCCAUAUCGACGGGAUGGUUUGGCACCUCGAUGUCGGCUCGUCGCAUCCUGGGGCUGGAGUAGGUCCCAAGGGUUGGGCUGUUCGCCCAUUAAAGCGGCACGCGAGCUGGGUUUAGAACGUCGUGAGACAGUUCGGUCUCUAUCCGCCGCGCGCGUAAGAAACUUGAGGAAGGCUGUCCCUAGUACGAGAGGACCGGGACGGACGAACCUCUGGUGUGCCAGUUGUUCCACCAGGAGCAUGGCUGGUUAGCUACGUUCGGAAGGGAUAACCGCUGAAAGCAUCUAAGCGGGAAGCCUGUUCCAAGAUGAGGUUUCUCACCACCUUGCGUGGUUAAGGCCCCCUACAGACCAUGGGGUUGAUAGGCCGGAACUGGAAGCGCAGCAAUGCGUGGAGGUGACCGGUACUAAUAGGCCGAGGGCUU